GACGAACGCUGGCGGCGUGCCUAAUACAUGCAAGUCGAACGCAGUGGGGACGGGUGAGUAACACGUGGGUAACCUCCCAUCAGAGGGGAUAACACUUGGAAACAGGUGCUAAAACGAUAUUGAUGGAUGGACCCGCGGUGCAUUAGCUAAGUGGUGAGGGAACGGCUGACCAAGGCCACGAUGCAUAGCCGACCUGAGAGGGUGAGCGGCCACACGUGGACUGAUACACGGCCCAGACUCCUACGGGAGGGAGCCGUAGGGAAUCUUCGGCAAUGGACGAAAGUCUGACCGAGGAACGCCGCGUGAGUGAAGAAGGUUUUCGGAUCGUAAAGCUCUGUUGUUAGAGAAGCGGUAACUAACCAGAAAGGGACGGCUAACUACGUGCCAGCAGCCGCGGUAAUAC
rnacentral:rRNA from 1 species